rnacentral:lncRNA from 1 species
UAACAACCUCCUUCACCAGACAGAGGCUCUGGAGGAGAGAGGAUCCCAGGUUCUUCACCUUGCAUCUUUAGCACCUAACCCAGAGCAACCUUCCGAACACAAACCAAAGCCUCUUGGAGUCUGAAGAAUUACAGUUUGUUUAUGAGUGGCCAGGAAGAACCCAGCCAGAGAAAAUCCCUGCCUGCUGUGGGCCCUGAAGGAGCUGUUGUCUCCGAUGAUCACAUCUCCAGACCAGCACAGGUCCCAGGGGGCUGCUGUCCAUACCGUGGCAAGGAACCAGACUGAGACCCGCAGGUGGAGAAAUGGUGGGGACACAAGGAUCGAAGACUGUCAUUCACUCCUGUGUUCACUCACUUGCUCCAUGAUACUUCCUAAGCAUCCAGUGUGGACAGGACAUUGCUUCUCUGGAGACACAGCAGGCAACAACAUUCCGCCAUCCAAAAG